rnacentral:rRNA from 1 species
GACGAACGCUGGCGGCGUGCCUAAUACAUGCAAGUUGAGCGCUGAAGGUUGGUACUUGUACCGACUGGAUGAGCAGCGAACGGGUGAGUAACGCGUGGGGAAUCUGCCUUUGAGCGGGGGACAACAUUUGGAAACGAAUACUAAUACCGCAUAAAAACUUUAAACACAAGUUUUAAGUUUGAAAGAUGCAAUUGCAUCACUCAAAGAUGAUCCCUCGUUGUAUUAGCUAGUUGGUGAGGUAAAGGCUCACCAAGGCGAUGAUACAUAGCCGACCUGAGAGGGUGAUCGGCCACAUUGGGACUGAGCCACGGCCCAAACUCCUACGGGAGGCAGCAGUAGGGAAUCUUCGGCAAUGGACGAGAGUCUGACCGAGCAACGCCGCGUGAGUGAAGAAGGUUUUCGGAUCGUAAAACUCUGUUGGUAGAGAAGAACGUUGGUGAGAGUGGAAAGCUCAUCAAGUGACGGUAACUACACAGAAAGGAACGGCUAACUACGUG